GAUUUAUACCUAUUCGAAGGGAUAGGGUCGGUUUGCCGGAUUUCACACAGGUGUUGCAUGGCUGUCGUCAGCUCGUGUCGUGAGAUGUUGGGUUAGUCCCGCAACGAGCGCAACCCUCAUCCUUAGUUACCAUCAGGUUAUGCUGGGGACUUUAAGAAACUGCCAGUGAUAAACUGGAGGAAGGUGGGGAUGAUGUCAAGUCAUCAUGGCCCUUAUGAGUGGGCUACACACGUGCUACAAUGGUGAUUACAAUGGGCUGCAAGGUCGCAAGGCUGAGUAAUCCUAAAAAAUCAUCUCAGUUCGGAUUGUUCUCUGCAACUCGAGAGCAUGAAGUUGGAAUCGCUAGUAAUCGUGGAUCAGCAUGCCACGGUGAAUACGUUCUCGGGUCUCGUACACCUGCCCGUC
rnacentral:rRNA from 1 species